rnacentral:rRNA from 1 species
AGAAUGAACGCUGGCGGCGUGCUUAACACAUGCAAGUCGAGCGAGGCCAGGGGGGCAACUCCCUGAGUCGAGCGGCGGACGGGUGAGUAACACGUGGGUAACCUACCCGGAAGUGGGGAAUACCUCGGGGAAACUCGAGCUAAUACCGCAUAACAUCUCGAGGACGAAAGUUCUUGUGAUCAAAGCGGGGCCGCAAGGCCUCGUGCUACCGGAUGGGCCCGCGCCCGAUUAGCUAGUUGGCGAGGUAAUGGCUCACCAAGGCGACGAUC